UACGUAGGGUGCAAGCGUUGUCCGGAAUUAUUGGGCGUAAAGAGUUCGUAGGCGGUUUGUCGCGUCCGUUGUGAAAGCUUGGGGCUCAACCCCAAGUCUGCAGUGGAUACGGGCAGACUAGAGUCAGGUAGGGGAGAACGGAAUUCCUGGUGUAGCGGUGAAAUGCGUAGAUAUCUGGAGGAACACCGGUGGCGAAGGCGGCAUCCUGGACCGACACUGACGCUGAGGCGCGAAAGCUAGGGGAGCAAACGGG
rnacentral:rRNA from 1 species